GCAUAAUCACUUGUCUAUUAAUUGUAGACUGGAAUGAAUGGGUUAAUGAAAUUUAAGCUGUCUCUAUUUAACUAAAUAAAAACUAGUCAUUAAGUGAAGAAACUUAAAUAAAAUUGAAAGACAAGAAGACCCUAUAGAGCUUUACUCUAAUUUAAAAUCUAAUUUUAACUACAGUUCGGUUGGGGCGACCAGGGAAAUAUCAUCCCUAAACAUAAUGAAAAAUAAUUCAUAAAAAAUGACCCUUUUAAGAUCAUAAAAUUAAGCUACCUUAGGGAUAACAGGCUAAUUUUCCUACAGAGACCUUAUUAACAGGAAAGA
rnacentral:rRNA from 1 species